GGCCGAUUGGCCUAAUGGUAAGGCGUGAGUCUCGUAUGUACCACCACCGCUUCAAAAUCUUGCAUAAUUGUCUAACCUUCUCCAAGCUACUCCGGAUUAAACUCAAGAUUGCGGGUUCGAUCCCCGUGUCGGUCG
rnacentral:tRNA from 1 species